ACCUGGCUGGCUCAGUUGGUAGAGCAUGUGACUCUUGAUCUUGGGGCUGUAAGUUCAAGCCCCAUGUUGGGUA
rnacentral:tRNA from 1 species